GCGCAGAUCGCUCUUCAAAACCGCCGUCGGCCUCUCUAUAUUCGCUUUGCCGGUCGCAAGGCCGGCUAUGGCGAUAAACGUUCUUCGAAAUAAACCUAUCGGACCCGGGGGCGGUACCCGGCGCCUCCACCCGAACCCAGGACCGAUGGCCGCACGGCCUCACGUGUUGGGUUCCGGCGGGGGCGAAAUAGGAUCGACGAGGGCGUAAAGGGUGAACUUUCGCUCGGCAUGGUUCCGCCGUUAUCGGGCCUUUGCAAUAGUUGCCAACGACAACUUUGCUCCGGUGGCUGUCGCCGCGUAA
rnacentral:tmRNA from 1 species